AUUGAACGCUGGCGGAAUGCUUUACACAUGCAAGUCGAACGGCAGCACGGGGCAACCUGGUGGCGAGUGGCGAACGGGUGAGUAAUAUAUCGGAACGUGCCCAAUCGUGGGGGAGUAACGUAGCGAAAGUUACGCUAAUACCGCAUACGAUCUACGGAUGAAAGACGGGGGAGUCGCAAGACCUCGCGCGAAUGGAGCGGCCGAUAUCAGAUUAGGUAGUUGGUGGGUAAAGGCUCACCAAGCCAACGAUCUGUAGCUGGUCUGAGAGGACGACCAGCCACACUGGAACUGAGACACGGUCCAGACUCCUACGGGAGGCAGCAGUGGGGAA
rnacentral:rRNA from 1 species